rnacentral:lncRNA from 1 species
CGGGGAAUGAGGCCGCCGGGGGCGGGACGCCGGCUCCCGGGGCCGCCUCUCCCAGGGCCAGAGGCGAGCCACUCGGGACAACUUCCUCUUAUGCCCCUGGCCCGGGCCCUCGACUGGGUUCCCAGGAGCCGAACCUCAGAGGAUCCAGAACGGCAGCUGGUCCUUGCUGGGCUGUUCCUGUCCAUCUGCCUGGUCACGGUGCUGGGGAACCUACUCAUCAUCCUGGCCGUCAGCCCUGACUCCCACCUCCGCACCCCCAUGUACUUCUCCCUCUCCAACCUGUCCUUGCCUGACAUCAGUUUCACCUCCACCACGGUCCCCAAGAUGAUUGUGGACAUCCAAUCUCACAGCAGAGUCAUCUCCUAUGCAGGCUACCUGACUCAGAUGUCUCUCUUUGCCAUUUUUGGAGGCAUGAAAGAGAGACACGCUCCUGAGUGCGAUGGCCUAUGACCGGUUUGUAGCCAUCUGUCACCCUCUAUGUCAUUCAGCCAGUAUGAAC